rnacentral:rRNA from 1 species
AACGAACGCUGGCGGCAUGCCUAACACAUGCAAGUCGAACGAGACCUUCGGGUCUAGUGGCGCACGGGUGCGUAACGCGUGGGAAUCUGCCCUUGGGUUCGGAAUAACUCGCCGAAAGGCGUGCUAAUACCGGAUGAUGUCGUAAGACCAAAGAUUUAUCGCCCAGGGAUGAGCCCGCGUAAGAUUAGGUAGUUGGUGAGGUAAAGGCUCACCAAGCCGCCGAUCUUUAGCUGGUCUGAGAGGAUGAUCAGCCACACUGGGACUGAGACACGGCCCAGACUCCUACGGGAGGCAGCAGUGGGGAAUAUUGGACAAUGGGCGAAAGCCUGAUCCAGCAAUGCCGCGUGAGUGAUGAAGGCCUUAGGGUUGUAAAGCUCUUUUACCCGGGAUGAUAAUGACAGUACCGGGAGAAUAAGCUCCGGCUAACUCCGUGCCAGCAGCCGCGGUAAUACGGAGGGAGCUAGCGUUGUUCGGAAUUACUGGGCGUAAAGCGCACGUAGGCGGCUUUGUAAGUCAGAGGUGAAAGCCUGGAGCUCAACUCCAGAACUGCCUUUGAGACUGCAUCGCUUGAAUCCAGGAGAGGUGAGUGGAAUUCCGAGUGUAGAGGUGAAAUUCGUAGAUAUUCGGAAGAACACCAGUGGCGAAGGCGGCUCACUGGACUGGUAUUGACGCUGAGGUGCGAAAGCGUGGGGAGCAAACAGG